rnacentral:rRNA from 1 species
CCUACGGGAGGCAGCAGUGGGGAAGUAUUGCACAAUGGGCGCAAGCCUGAUGCAGCAACGCCGCGUGAGGGACGACGGCCUUCGGGUUGUAAACCUCUUUUAGUAGGGAAGAAGCGAAAGUGACGGUACCUGCAGAAAAAGCACCGGCUAACUACGUGCCAGCAGCCGCGGUAAUACGUAGGGUGCAAGCGUUAUCCGGAAUUAUUGGGCGUAAAGAGCUCGUAGGCGGUUUGUCGCGUCUGCUGUGAAAACUGGAGGCUCAACCUCCAGCCUGCAGUGGGUACGGGCAGACUAGAGUGCGGUAGGGGAGAUUGGAAUUCCUGGUGUAGCGGUGGAAUGCGCAGAUAUCAGGAGGAACACCGAUGGCGAAGGCAGAUCUCUGGGCCGUAAACUGACGCUGAGGAGCGAAAGCAUGGGGAGCGAACAGGAUUAGAUACCCUGGUAGUCCAUGCCGUAAACGUUGGGAACUAGAUGUAGGGACCAUUCCACGGUUUCUGUGUCGCNGCUACGACAUACGUUACCCGUCCGUCGGGAGGUACGGCCGCGACGACGUAAACUAACGAACGAAGUAGUACGGCGUGAGACGNGCCGACGACGACGACGAGGGAGGAGG